CGGACACAUCACGUUGAAACAAUUGUUCUCGUACGAUCACCGACGUUAAACAACGUCGAGCCUGGUCACUACCUAAAUGGGUGACCGCUUGGGAAUAUCAGGUGCUGUAUG
rnacentral:rRNA from 1 species